rnacentral:lncRNA from 1 species
CCUGGUGGCUCAAACGGUAAAGAGUCUGCCUGCAAUGUGGGACACCCAGGUUCAAUCCCUGGGUUGGGAAGAUUCCCCUGGAGAAUGGAAUGGCAACCCAUUCCAGUAUUCUUGUCUGGAGAAUUCCAUGUACAAAAACCAGGCAAGCUACAGUUGAUGGGGUCACAAAGAGUCGGAUACAACUGAGCUUCUAACACACACACAACAUUCUUUCCUAGUGUGCACCACUCUUCUAAUCGGUGAACCAAUAGAGAUACUAAACUCAAUCCAGUUUUGUUCAGAAAAUAAAAGACACACAACCCUCCUGUAACAAGCAACUGAGCUUAAUUUUGGCAAAGCAAGAAAAAGCACGUAAACAGGAAAAACAAUUAUUAUAAAAAUGAAACCAUGCAGAAUAAACAAUCACGGCAAAAGAACAGAUCAAGAAAGGAAACAACAGCAAGCCACCUUAUCUGGCGGAUUCCCACAGAGCGCCUUUCAGUGCCAGGAAAGUCCUAAAGACAGGAGAGAAGGAAUCAGGCAUUGGAUGGGUGGAACCCUGGAUCUGCAACACACUCACUGGGUGAGCUCAGACAACUUUCGUAGAUGGAGGAUAAUCAGUCAUGAAAUAAAAGAAAACACUUCACUUGUUUGCUGCAGGACUUAAGAAAAG